GACGAACGCUGGCGGCGUGCUUAACACAUGCAAGUCGAACGGUAAGGCCCUUCGGGGUACACGAGUGGCGAACGGGUGAGUAACACGUGGGUGAUCUGCCCUGCACUUCGGGAUAAGCCUGGGAAACUGGGUCUAAUACCGGAUAGGACCACUGCCCGCAUGGGUGGUGGUGGAAAGCUUUUGCGGUGUGGGAUGGGCCCGCGGCCUGGCGGCUUGUUGGUGGGGUGAUGGCCUACCAAGGCGACGACGGGUAGCCGGCCUGAGCGGGUGACCGGCCACACUGGGGCUGAGAUACGGCCCAGACUCCUCCGGGAGGCAGCAGUGGGGAAUAUUGCACAAUGGGCGCAAGCCUGAUGCAGCGACGCCGCGUGAGGGAUGACGGCCUUCGGGUUGUAAACCUCUUUCAGCACCGACGAAGCGCAAGUGACGGUAGGUGCAGAAGAAGGACCGGCCAACUACGUGCCAGCAGCCGCCGUAA
rnacentral:rRNA from 1 species